UACGAGAAACACGUCCUUCGGGGCGUGGAGUAAAGUGGCGCACGGGUGAGUAACACGUGGGUAACCUGCCCUUGGAACCGGGAUAACUGGCCGAAAGGCCCGCUAAUACCGGAUAAGACCACAUGAGCUUCGGUUCAUGCGGCCAAAGUCGGCCUAUCGAAGAAGCUGACGCCCGAGGAUGGGCCCGCGGACCAUUAGCUUGUUGGUGAGGUAACGGCUCACCAAAGCCGAGAUGGUUAGCUGGUCUGAGAGGAUGAUCAGCCACACUGGAACUGAGAUACGGUCCAGACUCCUACGGGAGGCAGCAGUGAGGAAUAUUGCGCAAUGGAGGCAACUCUGACGCAGCAACGCCGCGUGGGUGAAGAAGGCUUUCGGGUUGUAAAGCCCUGUCAGGUGGGAAGAACCCUCUCUGAGUUAAUAGCUCAGAGGAAUGACGGUACCACCAAAGGAAGCACCGGCUAACUCCGUGCCAGCAGCCGCGGUAAGACGGAGGGUGCAAGCGUUGUUCGGAAUCACUGGGCGUAAAGCGCGUGUAGGCGGCUCGAUAAGUCGAUUGUGAAAGCCCGAGGCUCAACCUCGGAAGCGCAUUCGAAACUGUCGGGCUUGAGUACGGGAGAGGGAAGUGGAAUUCCUGGUGUAGAGGUGAAAUUCGUAGAUAUCAGGAGGAACACCGGUGGCGAAGGCGGCUUCCUGGACCGAUACUGACGCUGAGACGCGAAAGCGUGGGGAGCAACAGGAUUAGAUACCCUGGUAGUCCACGCCGUAAACUGUGAGCGCUAGUGUAGCGGGUAUU
rnacentral:rRNA from 1 species